CGGAAACUUUAGACGUGGCAACACGCUAGAAUAAAGCAGUAUACUGCGUUGUCAGCACCCUAAUGGAGGACGGGCACGUGGUGUAAAUAUGGCGUCGCCCAUAAAUGAGAUGACUUGGUUGAGCCAGGAAUUUCGAGGAAAAAAAACUUUUUUCACAUCACCCCUUCGCAUUAGUGUAAUUAACAGCUGGACAAGAAGGCAUCAUCAUAUUUAUUCGUAAAAUCUACCGCAUGCACAUCUUUGAUGACCUUAGAAUCUCAUCAAAACCGGAACAGACAGUGUGACGUCAAAAUGAUUGAUUUUUGUGGUCUUCAAUACAAAAGAGUUCCACAUCAUGGCAGCCUCUAUUGAUGACGGGAAUUAAAUUUUUUAAC